AAAGUGCGAAAAGUGUCAUGACUUGCAGAUUCCCGAGAGCUGACAAAUCUCUGAAUGCAAAUGGCAGUCGCGUUAGACCCGACUAUGUAUUAUAGAGUGUAGAUGCUCCAGCUAUUCAUCAUCCUCUUUCAUAUAUGUUUUUCUAUAUGUCUGCUUUGGAUGGACCUGCGCUUGCGGAUGGAUGAGAGAGAGAGAUCUCCCUUCCGUUCGCGAGUGUGAAAAGAACAGGUCUACGUCCCAUCUCCUCUCUCUCUAGGGAUGAGGAUGACGGGAUGUGGCACCGAUGGGAAAGAACAUAUGAGGGAGAGUCUCGCUCUCUCUUGCAUGCUUCAAGAAAAUCGGCUGUCUCUAUAUCAAGACCGACAAAUCUUUUUUAUACAUCUUGAAUGAGCCACCUCUA
rnacentral:misc_RNA from 1 species